CAUUCAUUCUAUUAAAAUUGAAGCUCUUCAAAAUGACUAAGUUUUAUGUCAUGCCAAUUUUUGUCAUUUUCAUUAUUUUUUCAGUUGUAACCAUGACAUGUCAAGCAGGCAAAUCAUGUACCACAGUCAAACCUGGUCCUUCUGCUACUUGUAUCCCUUAUCAGUGUGAAGAAUGGUGCUCUGAAUCUUAUAAAGGUAACGCAAAAUGUGUGCCAGAUGCAGGAGACCCUAAUAGAGCCAGAUGUUUUUGCACACAUCCAUGUUAAGCCUAUAAAAAAUAUAGCACAAUGCUCAAAAAUUAAAUGUUAAAUGUAAGAGCAUAUCAAAAUAAAUUUAAUAAAACUAUGCAUUGAUAUUUUUCAAA